CGCCCCGGUGUUAUAAUGUAACGACAGGUCGCCCCGGUGUUAUAAUGUAACGACAGGUCGCCCCGGUGUUAUAAUGUAACGACAGGUCGCCCCGGUGUUAUAAUGUAACGACAGGUCGCCCCGGUGUUAUAAUGUAACGACAGGUCGCCCCGGUGUUAUAAUGUAACGACAGGUCGCCCCGGUGUUAUAAUGUAACGACAGGUCGCCCCGGUGUUAUAAUGUAACGACAGGACGCCCCGGUGUUAUAAUGUAACGACAGGUCGCCCCGGUGUUAUAAUGUAACGACAGGUCGCCCCGGUGUUAUAAUGUAACGACAGGACGCCCCGGUGUUAUAAUGUAACGACAGGUCGCCCCGGUGUUAUAAUGUAACGACAGGUCGCCCCGGUGUUAUAAUGUAACGACAGGUCGCCCCGGUGUUAUAAUGUAACGACAGGUCGCCCCGGUGUUAUAAUGUAACGACAGGUCGCCCCGGUGUUAUAAUGUAACGACAGGUCGCCUCGGUGUUAUAAUGUAACGACAGGACGCCCCGGUGUUAUAAUGUAACGACAGGUCACACCGGUGUUAUAAUGUAACGACAGGUCGCCCCGGUGUUAUAAUGUAACGACAGGUCGCCCCGGUGUUAUAAUGUAACGACAGGUCGCCCCGGUGUUAUAAUGUAACGACAGGUCGCCCCGGUGUUAUAAUGUAACGACAGGUCGCCCCGGUGUUAUAAUGUAACGACAGGUCGCCCCGGUGUUAUAAUGUAACGACAGGACGCCCCGGUGUUAUAAUGUAACGACAGGUCGCCCCGGUGUUAUAAUGUAACGACAGGUCGCCCCGGUGUUAUAAUGUAACGACAGGACGCCCCGGUGUUAUAAUGUAACGACAGGACGCCCCGGUGUUAUAAUGUAACGACAGGUCGCCCCGGUGUUAUAAUGUAACGACAGGUCGCCCCGGUGUUAUAAUGUAACGACAGGUCGCCCCGGUGUUAUAAUGUAACGACAGGUCGCCCCGGUGUUAUAAUGUAACGACAGGUCGCCCCGGUGUUAUAAUGUAACGACAGGUCGCCCCGGUGUUAUAAUGUAACGACAGUACGCCCCGGUGUUAUAAUGUAACGACAGGUCGCCCCGGUGUUAUAAUGUAACGACAGGUCGCCCCGGUGUUAUAAUGUAACGACAGGUCGCCCCGGUGUUAUAAUGUAACGACAGGUCGCCCCGGUGUUAUAAUGUAACGACAGGUCGCCCCGGUGUUAUAAUGUAACGACAGGUCGCCCCGGUGUUAUAAUGUAACGACAGGUCGCCCCGGUGUUAUAAUGUAACGACAGGACGCCCCGGUGUUAUAAUGUAACGACAGGUCGCCCCGGUGUUAUAAUGUAACGACAGGUCGCCCCGGUGUUAUAAUGUAACGACAGGUCGCCCCGGUGUUAUAAUGUAACGACAGGUCGCCCCGGUGUUAUAAUGUAACGACAGGUCGCCCCGGUGUUAUAAUGUAACGACAGGACGCCCCGGUGUUAUAAUGUAAUGACAGGACGCCCCGGUGUUAUAAUGUAACGACAGGACGCCCCGGUGUUAUAAUGUAAUGACAGGUCGCCCCGGUGUUACAGUUGCAGCGAUUGGUCACCGCGCGUAGGCGGCGGUGCAGACUGGCAAUGCGAUUACAUUUAUGGAUGGUUCAUCAGAAUCUCUAGGUAACAUUCUGCGCAGUCGCCCUGUACCGCUUCUCUAGGAUAAUGAGGGUGAUAGUCUGCUGGAGUCAGCUGUAGGUCUCGGUAAUGGAGGACGGUUGGCAUGUUAGUUGGCGCCUCAGACGUACCGCCCCCUGGUGGCGGGACUGGAACACAUAAGGACCUUACAUUAAACUUGCUUCUUGUA